CCGGAGCAACAGAGAAGAUAGAAAAGAAACUUCCGAUCUCCAUCCGAGACUCAGCAACAGGUGGAUCUGGUGUGAAUCCUGACCCAUGUGGGAAAGAGGAAGGCUCCAAAAGAAUAGAAGGGCGGGAUGAGGAUCGGAGCCUCCCCCUGGACUGGAAGAUGAAGGAAGAUGGUGGCUGAAAAUGAGCCUCAGUGGCCAAGAAUUGACCAGCCCCGGCUCUCCGGUGAGGACCCUUUGGCGCUUCUCUACGGCAUUCCAAAGCUGGUCCUCUUUCCUGUGGGAAAGCUAAGCACUACGCUGCCAAUUUAAUUUGGGCGAAAGGAGAAAUAGAUGGAGGUUCCAGAAAUGGAAGAUGCCAGAGUUCAUCAUUCAAGUUUAAAGCUGGAACAAGUGAAAAAUCCCUUCGGUACGAUGAUGUUCCCCUAUUUAGUUUCUGAUGCCUGACAGAAGUU